rnacentral:snRNA from 1 species
AUACUUACCUGGGGCCGGGGCCUCGUUGACUAUCGAGGACCAGCCCCUCGGCGAGGCGCGGGCAUUGCACUGCGCUCGAGUUGACACUCCCACUACCCCAAACUGGGGCAGACGGUGCGUGCAAAUGGC